rnacentral:rRNA from 1 species
AGAGUUUGAUCCUGGCUCAGGAUGAACGCCGGCGGUGUGCCUAAUACAUGCAAGUCGUACGCACUGGCCCAACUGAUUGAUGGUGCUUGCACCUGAUUGACGAUGGAUCACCAGUGAGUGGCGGACGGGUGAGUAACACGUAGGUAACCUGCCCCGGAGCGGGGGAUAACAUUUGGAAACAGAUGCUAAUACCGCAUAACAACAAAAGCCACAUGGCUUUUGUUUGAAAGAUGGCCUUGGCUAUCACUCUGGGAUGGACCUGCGGUGCAUUAGCUAGUUGGUAAGGUAACGGCUUACCAAGGCGAUGAUGCAUAGCCGAGUUGAGAGACUGAUCGGCCACAAUGGAACUGAGACACGGUCCAUACUCCUACGGGAGGCAGCAGUAGGGAAUCUUCCACAAUGGGCGCAAGCCUGAUGGAGCAACACCGCGUGAGUGAAGAAGGGUUUCGGCUCGUAAAGCUCUGUUGUUGGAGAAGAACGUGCGUGAGAGUAACUGUUCACGCAGUGACGGUAUCCAACCAGAAAGUCACGGCUAACUACGUGCCAGCAGCCGCGGUAAUACGUAGGUGGCAAGCGUUAUCCGGAUUUAUUGGGCGUAAAGCGAGCGCAGGCGGUUGCUUAGGUCUGAUGUGAAAGCCUUCGGCUUAACCGAAGAAGUGCAUCGGAAACCGGGCGACUUGAGUGCAGAAGAGGACAGUGGAACUCCAUGUGUAGCGGUGGAAUGCGUAGAUAUAUGGAAGAACACCAGUGGCGAAGGCGGCUGUCUGGUCUGCAACUGACGCUGAGGCUCGAAAGCAUGGGUAGCGAACAGGAUUAGAUACCCUGGUAGUCCAUACCGUAAACGAUGAGUGCUAGGUGUUGGAGGGUCUCCGCCCUUCAGUGCCGGAGCUAACGCAUUAAGCACUCCGCCUGGGGAGUACGACCGCAAGGUUGAAACUCAAAGGAAUUGACGGGGGCCCGCACAAGCGGUGGAGCAUGUGGUUUAAUUCGAAGCUACGCGAAGAACCUUACCAGGUCUUGACAUCUUGCGCUAACCUUAGAGAUAAGGCGUUCCCUUCGGGGACGCAAUGACAGGUGGUGCAUGGUCGUCGUCAGCUCGUGUCGUGAGAUGUUGGGUUAAGUCCCGCAACGAGCGCAACCCUUGUUACUAGUUGCCAGCAUUAAGUUGGGCACUCUAGUGAGACUGCCGGUGACAAACCGGAGGAAGGUGGGGACGACGUCAGAUCAUCAUGCCCCUUAUGACCUGGGAUACACACGUGCUACAAUGGACGGUACAACGAGUCGCAAGCUCGCGAGAGUAAGCUAAUCUCUUAAAGCCGUUCUCAGUUCGGACUGUAGGCUGCAACUCGCCUACACGAAGUCGGAAUCGCUAGUAAUCGCGGAUCAGCAUGCCGCGGUGAAUACGUUCCCGGGCCUUGUACACACCGCCCGUCA